AUUGAACGCUGGCGGCAUGCCUUACACAUGCAAGUCGAACGGCAGCAUGGAGAGCUUGCUCUCUGAUGGCGAGUGGCGAACGGGUGAGUAAUGCAUCGGAACGUACCGUGUAAUGGGGGAUAACGUAGCGAAAGUUACGCUAAUACCGCAUACGACCUGAGGGUGAAAGCAGGGGAUCGCAAGACCUUGCGUUAUACGAGCGGCCGAUGUCAGAUUAGCUAGUUGGUGAGGUAAAGGCUCACCAAGGCGACGAUCUGUAGCGGGUCUGAGAGGAUGAUCCGCAACACUGGGACUGAGACACGGCCCAGACUCCUACGGGAGGCAGCAGUGGGGAAUUUUGGACAAUGGGGGCAACCCUGAUCCAGCCAUGCCGCGUGAGUGAAGAAGGCCUUCGGGUUGUAAAGCUCUUUCGGCCGGGAAGAAAUCGCACAGGCUAAUACUCUGCGUGGAUGACGGUACCGGCAUAAGAAGCACCGGCUAACUACGUGCCAGCAGCCGCCGUAA
rnacentral:rRNA from 1 species